ACCAUUAGCUUGUUGGUAGGGUAAUGGCCUACCAAGGCUGCGAUGGUUAGCUGGUCUGAGAGGAUGAUCAGCCACACUGGAACUGACACACGGUCCAGACUCCUACGGGAGGCAGCAGUGAGGAAUUUUGCGCAAUGGGGGAAACCCUGACGCAGCAACGCCGCGUGAGUGAUGAAGGCCUUCGGGUCGUAAAGCUCUGUCAAGUGGGAAGAAACUGUUUGAUGCUAAUACCAUCUUACACUGACGGUACCACUGAAGGAAGCACCGGCUAACUCCGUGCCAGCAGCCGCGGUAAUACGGGGGGUGCAAGCGUUAUUCGGAAUUAUUGGGCGUAAAGGGCGCGUAGGCGGUCUCUUAAGUCAGAUGUGAAAGCCCGGGGCUUAACUCCGGAAGUGCAUUUGAAACUAAGGGACUUGAGUAUGGGAGAGGGAAGUGGAAUUCCUGGUGUAGCGGUGAAAUGCGUAGAUAUCAGGAGGAACACCGGUGGCGAAGGCGACUUCCUGGACCAAUACUGACGCUAAGGCGCGAAGGCGUGGGGAGCAAACAGGAUUAGAUACCCUGGUAGUCCACGCAGUAAACGGUGAACAUUAGGUGUAGCGGGUAUCGACCCCUGCUGUGCCGUAGCUAACGCAUUAAGUGUUCCGCCUGGGGAGUACGAUCGCAAGAUUAAAACUCAAAGGAAUUGACGGGGACCCGCACAAGCGGUGGAGCAUGUGGUUUAAUUCGACGCAACGCGAAGAACCUUACCUGGAUUUGACAUCCCGAGAAGUCUUUCGAAAGAUUGAUGUGCCCUUCGGGGAACUCGGUGACAGGUGCUGCAUGGCUGUCGUCAGCUCGUGUCGUGAGAUGUUGGGUUAAGUCCCGCAACGAGCGCAACCCCUAUCUUUAGUUACCAGCAAUUCGGUUGGGGACUCUAAAGAUACUGCCCCGGUCAACGGGGAGGAAGGUGGGACGACGUCAAGUCCUCAUGGCCUUUAUGUCCAGGGCUACACACGUGCUACAAUGGGCUGUACAAAGGGUCGCGAACUCGCGAGAGUGAGCCAAUCCCAUAAAGCAGUUCUAAGUUCGGAUUGGAGUCUGCAACUCGACUCCAUGAAGUUGGAAUCGCUAGUAAUCGUGGAUCAGCAUGCCACGGUGAAUACGUUCCCGGGUCUUGUACACACCGCCCGUCACACCAUGAGAGUUGGCUGUACCAGAAGUUGUUGGACUAACCUCGUUUAUCGAGGAGGUAGGCACCUAAGGUAUGGUUGAUGAUUAGGGUGAAGUCGAAACAAGGUA
rnacentral:rRNA from 1 species